rnacentral:rRNA from 1 species
UGGGGAAUUUUGCACAAUGGGCGGAAGCCUGAUGCAGCGACGCCGUGUGGGGGAUGAAGGCCUUCGGGUUGUAAACUCCUUUCGUCAGGGACGAAGUUUGUUUGACGGUACCUGGAUAAGAAGCACCGGCUAACUACGUGCCAGCAGCCGCGGUAAUACGUAGGGUGCGAGCGUUGUCCGGAUUUACUGGGCGUAAAGGGCGAGUAGGUGGUGUGUUGCGUCGUCUGUGUAAUCCAGGGGCUUAACUUUUGGUUGGCAGGCGCUACGGGCAUUGCUUGAGUGCUGUAGGGGAGACUGGAAUUCCUGGUGUAGCGGUGAAAUGCGCAGAUAUCAGGAGGAACACCGAUGGCGAAGGCAGGUCUCUGGGCAGUUACUGACGCUGAGGAGCGAGAGCAUGGGUAGCGAACAGG